GACGUAGGGCGCGAGCGUUGUCCGGAUUUAUUGGGCGUAAAGAGCUCGUAGGCGGCUUGUCGCGUCGACUGUGAAAACCCGAGGCUCAACUUCGGGCUUGCAGUCGAUACGGGCAGGCUAGAGUUCGGUAGGGGAGACUGGAAUUCCUGGUGUAGCGGUGAAAUGCGCAGAUAUCAGGAGGAACACCGAUGGCGAAGGCAGGUCUCUGGGCCAUUACUGACGCUGAGGAGCGAAAGCGUGGGGAGCGAACAGG
rnacentral:rRNA from 1 species